UACAGAGGGUGCGAGCGUUAAUCGGAAUUACUGGGCGUAAAGCGUGCGUAGACGGUUAUUUAAGUCGGGUGUGAAAGCCCCGGGCUCAACCUGGGAAUUGCAUUCGAGACUGAAUAGCUAGGGUACGGUAGAGGGAAGUGGAAUUUCCGGUGUAGCGGUGAAAUGCGUAGAUAUCGGGAGGAACACCGGUGGCGAAGGCGGGUCUCUGGGCAGUAACUGACGCUGAGGAGCGAAAGCGUGGGGAGCGAACAGG
rnacentral:rRNA from 1 species